AUUCAACAAUAGAAUAAUGACGUAUUUUUAAGUGGACAGUACCAUAUAUAUAGACUUGACUGACUACAUUUUGAAUAAUUAACUCAGUGCGCUGUUUGCUUUUUGAGAAGAAUUGCAAGCAAUUUCUGUCUAAUUUAUCUGUCAUGUGGUCGAUUUGGAUAGUUGCGCUAAGUUUGAUCCAUUAUGGAUAUGUAAGUAAAGCUUAUAUUUAUUCACAUAGACGUGAAGCUAUAGUAAUAAUAUCAGAACAUUCAAGCUUCUAGACUAAAAUCUCUUCAGCUGGGGUCACACAUUCACGAUUUUUACUGCCGUCCUUGACAGGACCAUUCCCGAUUAAAAUUUGUCAAAGUCUGAUCAAGAUCCUGUGAAUCGUGAAUGGAAAUUCAAACUUUAAUUAAAAUUUGUAAAUAAAUAAUUUAAUCACGACAACUAUCAGAUAUUGUUCAGGAAGCGUCGAUAUUCAACCGUUUCCAAGCGAAUUUAUCCCGAUAAUCCCGUUCUCAAUCCGAUUCUAAUCCAAUUUGUAUCUUUCUCUGGUAAAAUUCGACGAGAGUCUGUCACGACUGCGUCCCGAUUCUACCGAAUGUAAUCCGACAGAGAUAAGACAGUGACCAGACAGUGAACCGACGCUGACGGAAGUUAUCCGUUCGGUUUUUGUCGGCAUACUCGUGAUGAUCGGGUACUGUCGGAACGUAAUCCUAUCACGGUCCGCUCUAUCGCAUUGCAAACGGCUUUGUCUGGUCUCAGUCGUAUUGUAUUCUGUAAUUGUCGGAACUCUGACGUGGGUAUCAUUGACGAAUUUCGUAUUAAUAACGUGACUGUUCCGGAACGGUUUCGGCAACAAUGGUUCGCAAUUGACAAGAUCUGGAUGCAAUCUGAACUCAAUCGGCAGAAAAAUAGCAAUGAAAAAUUUUUCCACAUCAUUCCCGUUCCACAGGACACCGUCCGGAAUACACAGAACAUCGUAAGAAUUUUGAUCCGAUACAGCAGAAUCUGUCACGACAUAGGCACGAUUAUAAUCCGACUACACAAAAUCGGCUGAGUUUCCCCGAAUGUUACGGGACGCACAUAACUGUCGGGGUGCUUCGCCGAACUAUCCGGACCCUUCCCGACCCGUAGGAAUCUGUUACGAACUUAAACGACUGCGUUCAGACAAUGAUAGGACAUUCCAGAUAAUUAAGGAUACUAGUAUUCCGACUUUUUUACAUUUCGUGUCGUAUCGCUGUCUGAUCUCAAACGGCAGCAAUUAUCGGCAAUGUGUGAACCCCGCAUUACUUGGCUUUUAAACAUUAAGAUUCUGCCCUCUUAAAUAUGCGUUGCACAGUGUCACUGACCAUUAAAGCGCUUCGGACGCAUGCAAUUUAUUUCGUGUUGUUUUCAUUUUUUACAGCACUGAGUCGAUACCUCUGCUGGUGGACUAUCAGUCCCCGUUGGUAAUUAUCAUCAAUUCGGUAGUCAGUACUUAUGUACUGACAUGAUUUAUAACAAAUUAUUUAAAAUUGCAAGUUUAUAAAUUCUAAAACUAUACAGAAACUAAGGUUUCAACUCCCUCAGGCAAAGUUGGCCUUAGAUGGAUUUGGCUAUAUUUUUUUGUCCUUUUUUAGAUAAUUUGUUAUAAAUCAUGUCUGUACCGAAGUCCUGACUACCGAGCUGAUGAUAUGACUAUCUACACAAGUGGCUUUUGUGUUUAUUUAAAAGAAAACAUAAGGAAGCACCAUGUAUCUAGUUUACAAAUCAUCAAAAUAAAACAAAUAUACACUAACACUUCAGUGAAUUAAAUAUGCGAAAGCUUCGCUUAGAUUAUCUGACUGUACUUUAUAUCAUAUUUCGAUAUAUAUUGGUAGGCUUACACAAAAGUAUACUGUGCGAAAAUUUAAAAAAAAAGUUUAAAUCAAUUUAAUCACUUAAUGAAUGGCUAUUAUCUAUUUUGAAUUUAUUGAACCAUAAAACUAAUUUUUGACUCUUCACAUUGAAUAAUCCACGAAGCGGAUUAUGUAAAAUGUGAAGAGUUAAAAAUUAGUUUUAUGGUUCAAUAAAAUCAAAAUAAAUUAUUGCCAUUCAUUAUAAAUAAAUUUCUAUCAAAACUAAGGCUCAAAGAACUUUUUAUAUUAUUUAUAUUAACAACGUACACACAUGUUGGCGUAUGAAUAACAAACGUCAAAGUGGGCGUGUCAUCAAAAUUGACAACAUUGAAAAUAAAACUAAUAAUUUUAACCAAUCAGAAGACAGUAAAAACACAAAAUUUAUUUAUAUUGAAAUGAAAAAUGAUAGUUAGUAUAAUUCCAGAUUUUUAAUUCAUACACUUCAAUGAAAUAAAAUGUACAUCACUUAAUUAUGUCCUCAUUAUAUACAAGUUGCACAAUAAAUCAUUUCAACAAUUGUAUUGUAAAUAUCUCGAAUAUGCUAUAUACUUUAUUAAAGUUUUAUUAUUUUCAACAGAUUUUAGCAACCGACGUGAAGCCUAAUAGUAAGUCAUAGUUAUCAGCAGCUUUAUAUUUAUAAAAUUAUUCCUGUAAAAAUAAAAUACUACACAGUAAAUUAAAAAUUUUGCAAUGUACGUAUAUUUCAUCAAAAUCGGGUCAGGAAUUUGACUACAAAGGGUGGUUUUAAAGAAGUUGAUGGAAAUGUGAUUGUCUAACGACGGAGCUACAAAAAUUACUUCCAUUGCGUAAAAUUGUAAUUUGUCGAGCGCAUAAACUGACUUUUGUAUCAAUGUUUGAUAGACAUAAACCUAAUGGAUUAUUGGUCAAUUAGACAGUAUUAAACACAAAACCUUCUAGUGAAUUAUUUUUACGAAUGUAACAUUGUGCCGAUAACACAAAGAAUACAUUAUCAUAAAUCAUUACUUAUUUAUGAGGGAAAAUAGGGUUUAGCUCCAGAAUAUUUGUCAAGUCUUAUUUUAUCAGAUUCUGCAAACCAAAAAUACAAUACGAGAUUUUCGUCUUCAAAUAAUUUUAUGAUUCCAAAGCCAAUUACAGAGUUGUAUAAGUCUAGUUUCUCGUACAGUGAACCAAAAGUUUUGAAUGCUCUUCCUAACACAAUUAGAAAAUCAAAUUUUAAAGCAUAACUACAAAUCUAUGCACUCUUAACAUAUUUGUACUGUAAUGCCAUAAAAUAUUUUUUAUUUAAAUUGUAUUGCAUCUUUAUCAUUAUCAUUAUUAUUGAAUUUAUAUUGUUUAUUUUUUAAUGUAAUUAUUGUUAUUGUAUUAAGAGAGCCUUAUUGAAAAUUGGUGUAAUCCAAAUGAGUUACUCUCUCUUAAUAAAGACAUUAUUAUUAGUAUUAUUAGUACAACAACACAAAAAGAGAUAACUAGAGGUCUAUGUGCGAUCUUCAAUAAAAGAGAAAUAUAUACACAGUAUUUUAAACUCUUUAUCUCUCCGAAUGUACGCAGAAAAGUUGUGAACAAACAGAGUCGAUCAAACAUGUACAAUUCACAACAGUAUGGAAUUGUCUUCGGUUAAACGUUUUAUAAAUAUAAUCUGCAUUUUGCUAUUUCCCAAAUUAGAUAUUAAAGGGUACUAUUAUACAAAUCUCUCAUUAGAAUAAUGAAGUAUGUGAAUUAUAAUUCCCUUUGCCCUAAAGAAACACAGAAGUCUUUCAUAUCCUGCGUAUUUAAGUUUAGAAUUAAUAUGAAUGGGGUAUGGUAAAAAUUGUCUAAAGAAAACUAACGGAAAUCUUUAUUUUUUGGAAUACAAAACAUUGCCCUAUUUUUGUUUCGUUAGUUAAAACAAGGUUCCUUUCCAAGUUUCAACUUUCUAAAUGGGGGGGGGGGGAUAUUUUGCAAUCAUGAGUCACAGACACAUUGUCUUGGUCAACCUAAAAGAGUCCAAUAUUUUUGCCCUGUUAUUUCAUAGAUUUUUAGUUUUGCCCUGUUAUUUCAUAGAUUUUGUUUCAGUGUAGUCUCAAAGGAAAAUAUUGUUUGAAAAUUGGCCAAUUAGAAUAGUAAGUUGUUUUUGCAAAUUUCACUCAUGGGUCGGUCGAACUCACAAAAUGCAUAACACAGUAUUAUAUUUACCUCUAUAGGACCCGACCAUUAAUUUUUAUGACUAGGCCUUUAUAAAUUAUUGGUACAUCUCAGUGUUGUCAUACGAUUCAUAGCUUACAUGCCUUUGUAAAAAGGAACUGGGAAAAUAUACUGAUCUCUAUUGCAAAUCAUUAAAACCAAUGUAUAAAUCAUAAAGUACCCUGUAAGGUGUCUCAAGAUGAAGCAGCUAACAUCUCUCCGAUCUCCAAGUACCAAGAACUCUGAGCUGAUAUAGAAAAAGCCUUUGGCCCAUCUUUAUAUUUCUGAAGUCUAGCAAGUUUGACAUCAAUAUGAGGAUCAAGUCGUCAUUUUUCUGCCUCCUCUGCCAGGCCAAGCUGUUCAGUUAUUUUGCGAAUUGCAAAUUGAAACGGUACGAGAGGGUUGGUGGUAAGGGUAACCCUUUUCCUUUCUUUAUUUUUCACAACUAAAUUCAUGUGCUCUGGGUCAAUGUCACUAAUCAAACACUCAAUUAUCUUAAUUGUUUUUAUCUUCGGAUUGAGCAGGGGGCUGAGCUGGGUCAGAACAUCACCCCUGGUCAGAAGUGGUCAUUCCUGUUUACGUGGGGCUAAAUUAUAAAUAGGGGACGGAGAGUAACUAUAUUGGCUAGAGGUAUAGGGGGAGGGUUGAGUUCUCAUAAAAAAUGUUUAACCCCGCCACAUUUUUUAGCCUUUCCCAAGUCGGGAACCUCUGGUCAUUGUUUAUAGUCUUGUAUUUUUUUUUUUUGAUUUGGGUUCAUUUAUAUGUUUUGGAGUUUAGUGUGACUAUAAAAAAAGAUGUGGUAUGAUUGCCGAUGAGAUUACUCUCCACAAGAGACCAAAAUGACACAGAAAUUAACAACUAUAGGUCAUCGCACGGCCUUCAACAAUGAGCAAAGCCCAUACCGCAUAGUCAGCUAUAAAAGGCCCUGAAAUGACAAUGUAAAACAAUUCAAACGAGAAAACUAAUGGCCUCAUUUAUGUGACGUUCAUUGUAUAUGAACUAGUACACAUUUUUAUUAAGGGAACGAACAUUUAACUUCAAAGAAGGGGGGAAGGGCGGUAUGUUUUUUUCCCUCAAAAAUAUUCUGAUCCCUAAUUUGAUGAAAAAAAAUUAUUGUGGUCAAGCAGAUGAAAAAAAAAAAAAAAAAAAAUUCUGAAUCUAGAUUUCCCUAUACCUUAUAGUGUUAAAUUUUGAAAAAAAAAUAAAUUGAUUGAUAGCGUCGAAAAACUAAAACUCAGACCAAAAAACAUAGCAUAACAGAUAACAGACAGUGGGUUGAAAACAGUAAACAGUUUAUUUUUAUUUCAAACAACAGUUAACAACACCUUGGAAAAGACCAAAACAGGUUAACAUAAAAAGGUAUUGCCCCUCUAUACGCGUAUGGCCAGGUAAUUUGACACUGUAAAUAUGGCAUUCGAGUUUUCAUAAAAGAAUUGUUUAUACAAAAUUGAAUUUUGAGUAACUUUAUCAUAUGUUAAUCAUUGCUACAUAAUUAUUUGAAUGGGAUGCAAAUAAGUAAGCUUUUACUCACAAGUUAAAAUUAUAGUAAACAAGUUAUUACAAGCGAUUUGUCCCUACGAAUUACAGUUUCUUUCAUAUCGGUUAAGAAUUGGUUUCUCUUAUUUGAUAACAAGGGGCCACAUGACGUUCUUUAUUCUUUAUUAAAAAAAAAUCCAUAGGUCUUUAACAGAAAUAAACGGACCAGAAAACCGGUCGUUAACGAACUUUUACAUGUUAAUGAGCGGUGGGGCGUUGUUUCUCUGUUUAGAGUGAUGUCAAUUUUAUAUUAAAGUGGUUGAAUUAUUUACCAUAUGUUUUCGUUAAUUAUAAAAUUAUAGAAAUCUUUAUUUUGUAUUCAUGUACAAAAAAUGCACUAAAAUGAAUGGCAGUGGCUUAUAGUUAUCACUAUAACUGGUCUUCACUCUUUCCUAUAGAAAUCGUACAAUAACUCGAGUUUGCUUUGAACAAUUUGAAUUUAUGAGAUUUUUUAAAAACAUGGUUCCUCAAUGAAAUAAACAUAAUAGUUAUUGAAGAACUGGUCAUUAUCGUGACAUAUGGACUGCCCACAGGACAGUGGUUUUGACUAAGACAGCGAUAAUGACUGUACAAGAAGUCAACUGUUUUACAAACAUUAAACAGACGAAAAAGUAUACUUGAUACAGACCAUUUUAAUUAUUACUAUCGAAGGCAAGAAAAAAGACAAAGGCAAACAAGCCAGAGUCAGACAAUUUGUCAACGAUAAAUGAUUUCAGUAAGGAAAUGAUAUGCUAGUUUGCUCUUUUUUUUGUGGAGGGGUUGGAUAACGUGCGGUGUAUUUUUACACAUUUUAUCCUGCUUAUUUUUUUUUGUAUGCAAGAAUAACUCGCUGUAAAUAAAAGAAAGCUCUUUUUCGAAUUAUUCCUAUAUCCAUAACCAGUCAUAUACAGUCCUAGCUGAUACCAUCUUGUUCCAUGUAAAACACGGAAAUUCAAUACAAAAAGAAAUAUGUCUAUAUGAUCCAAAACUUUACACAUAUAUAUCCACAUGUGCAAUCCAGCUUGUCUGCCUUUACUAGAUCAGGAAUAUCGAACGAUAAUGCCUUUGUUAUAGUGAGAGAUAUUAGCAAGCAAAAUCGAGGGAAUUGUGCAAAUGAUGAUACAAGCAUGAAAAUUACCACAAAGCAUAAUUAUUAUAUACUUUUUAAGAAUUAACUGCUGGCCACUACAAAAAAUGAUUUUUUCAAGAUGGCCACGGCCAUUUUCUAAAAUGGCUGUUUUCUUUAGUUUGAAAAUACUGAUAUUUCUGGAAAACUUUUCUUUUAACUUCUUUUUAGUAAAAAACAAUUACCAGGUUUGGUGGAUACAUUCCUUACAUCACAUAUUUAUUAAAAAUGAAUAUUUGAUAUACCCAGUAGUUGCGCAUGCACUAAAAUGUAACAAUAUUCUUUCAAAAACAUUUGAACUAUUUACCAUACAUUUAGUGUUUUUGGAUUUCUAAUAAUAUUAUGAAUUGGUUUAAUAACAUUUUUCAAGGUUAUGAUACACAUGUGUUUAACAUUUUUGCGCAUGUGCAAACUUUUUAUAGACAUCAAGAGCGAUUUGUAUGCACUACCAGGCAAUUCUGAAGUAUUCGAUGGUUAAGGCGAAAAUGUGGUUAAUCCCGAAUAAACAUCAAUUGUAACUGCAGAUCAGCCACUUUUUGAAAUUCAGUGGGAAUGGCCCGAUUUGUACGGAAAAGUUAAAUGUAUCGUCAUGUUUGGUGAAUUGCACAUUGAAAUGACUUGUUAUAAAACUCUGGGUGGUAUAUUUCGUGAUAGUGAUGGACAUGUUGUCUUACUGAAGCCAAUACUGCAACACCAAGAAUGGCAGCUUCUUUUAAUGUAUGUUCAAAUGUAUCUAGAACUAGACAGGCCCAUCAGACAACCGCAUGAAGUUUGCUUGAAUUGUUAAUUUCAAAUUAUGAAACCUAAACUCAGAAUAUAUAAUUAUGUCAUGACUCUGUGGCGUUCAGUGAUUUAAAAGACUGGUGUAAGGAAAUAGAGUCAUCCCGACCACAGUUUGAUUCCUGGCGUUCAAUUAUAAAUUAAGAACUUCUUUUGAUUUUGGUAUUAUGCUCAUUUCAUGAAUGAUAUUUCGUACUUUUCAAACAGUCCAUAUAAAGCAUGAUAGCAUAUUGUUUUAGGUCUUGAUCGUGUGAAUUAUGCUCGAUCGAUACCAACCCGUCUCCGAGAUAUGACUUCCCUUCCCGAACAUCACCCACAGGUGGCGAUGGAAUUUGAAAAUGAUAAUUUCACUGUACGUAAGACCAGUAAAUUUCUUUCUUAUUACACAAUUAAUAAUGCAAUUGUAAAGGGCGAUGUUGGUGCCAUAGGAUUAACCAAAGAUCACUUUUAGACAAAUGGAUGGUAGCUGGAUCAGAAGUCAGUAUACCAGAAUAUGAAUUUGAAAGAUCUAGUUAUUUGGGUCAUUCAACAACAGACGAACGACAUAAUGAAGACUCUACGAAAACACAAAAAGAUUUCUUUAAACAGCUUUAAAGGAUUUGUAAAGUGAUGAACGAGUUUGGAAAUUCAUUUCUAGAAGAGUCGUCAGAUUUGUAAACAAAAUACUCCAUUUAGGAAAUUUUUGAUUCGGAAACAGGUAAGAUAUGUAAAUAAACUCCAAGAUAUUGGUCCAAACAAUACGAAGAUCUUUUGAAGUAAAUGCAAAACGUCUUUGUCAAAAACAAAGCUAGAGAACCUUUAAAGUGAUUGCUAUAUCUUUUCUAGACUUUUCAUUUUUUGUCACAGUAGACAGUUUUACUUGGAAUAUUUCUUUAUCCAUAAAAACUAAACUGCUUCUCCGUCUUUAUCUCAGGAUGUCACUUGAAAUAGUGGUAUUAAAUCGCUACAAAUGGGUUUACUUGAAACAUUCUGCGAUUUGCUGAUCCUAAUUCGAACGCAUUUAUCGUUGGUGGGGUAGCAAUGGUUAAUUCCAGGUCACAAAGUUGGGCAAAAAUAUUUGAUGAUUAUUCUUAUGAUGUCAUACUGCCUUAUAUAAAAUCUUGCAUCGAUAAAUAUUCAAAAGUAGACAUUGUACUUGAUGUUUACUAAAGGUUCUUGUGGUAGAUGGAACGGUGUUGGUUCUGGUAGAACACCAAGGGUUUGUAGUAGUUUUCUCUGUGAAGAUGACAACGAAACGAAAUUGUUCAAGUUUCUUGCUGACAAAACUGCUUCUUGACAGACUAAUACAAAUGUGUAUGUUACUCAUGGUGAAAAUAUUUUUAGCAAUUUCAAUAACGAUACUUCUUACCUAUCCCCUUGUAAUCAUGAAGAAGCAGAUACACGAAUGUUUGUCCAUUUUCGGCAUGAUUAUGAAAAGUGUUGUAAAAUGUAAUUUUAGGUAGUACUGACACAGAUGUAAUAGUAUCAAUAAUUGCAGCAAUCGGAAAAUUAGGUAGAACAAAUUGUGGAUAAGUUAUGGAAGGAAUAACGACUUUUGAUGGCUUUCUGUACGUGACAUAUUAAAUGCGUGUGGUCCUUGUGUAGCUACGCUUACUUUCGUCCAUGCAUUCAGUGGGUGGCACUUUGUCGAAUUGCCGUAAGAAAGGGAAGAGGUCAGCUUGGCUAACAAUGGCAGUUUUUCCAGAUGUAAAGAACGUUUUUUUUUUGGCUUAAGUAUGAAGCGAGGCACGAUGUGGAUUGUUUGCCAGGAGGUAGCGGCAUUGUGAUGCAAUUCCGCCUACAAGUGGUUCUUUUCCAGAGCCCAUCAAAAGAGAAGUAUAUCAAGAAAUAGUUGUUUGGGCUCAGCCUGAUUCAUGUAUUCGACAGAUACAUGUACCAAGUCAUAAACAUUGGGAUUGGAUGAAAGAAAGAAUCAAUGACAUUUGGAAACCAAAAUGGACUUCUUUGAAUGCCGUUGCAUCCUCGUGUCAGGAAAUUUUGAAAUCCAGCUGUGUUGGUAACUGUAGAUGCUACCGUUCUGGCCUUCCUGAUACGGGUUGUUGUAUAGGCAACUAUCAGAUAAUUAUAAAAUAAGCAACCUGUCUUUCUAAUCAAACUAGACAUUUAAACUAAACAAAGAGUGUUAUCACUUGUUAAGUUGAUAGAAAUUAUAAAAAUAUUUUCUACGUAUUUGUCGCCAUUUUUUAAGCGGAAGUCACUAUUUUUUUCAUUUAUGUGUUGUUUUGUCGUACUUAGGAACUGCUUUUAACGUUUUAUCAUAACUUACAUUGUAUUAUACCUAUAACACAUCUUUCAAGGAUUUACAUCCCUUGUGAAGUUGCUUGAAAGUAUAAAAAUUGAAAUUUUUUACUUUUUUGCCGUCAUUUUGAAACCGGAAGUCACCUUUAGUUUCAUUUAUGUAUUGUCUAGUCGUUAUUUAGGAACUGUCAUUUAAUUUUUUAUCAAAUCUAACAUUGGAUUUUAUAUAUAACACACCUUUCAAAGGAUAAACGAAUUAUUGCCAAUUUGUAAUGACGCCAUUUCCUAAAUGUGUGGUGGCCAUUUUGAAAAAAUGAUUUUUUUUUCUGGCCAGAGGCGGAUAUUUUUUCAGUAUCAUUUAGUCAACCUUUAUACCAAAUUUCAUGCUUGUAUCACGAUUUGCACAAUUAUGUCCAUAGUAUCUCCCACUAUUAAAUAUAAAUGCCACUUUUGCUUGAAAGAAUUGAGUAGACGAAAAACGACAGAAAAUGUGUUAUUUCAUUCUGUAUGGCAAUUUAUUUUAACCAGAUGAGCCAUCCCAGCUCCUUAGAAUCUUUUUUUUGUUCUUUUCACACAUUCUUAUUAUAAUUUACUUUAUACAAAGGGUAUAUUUUCCCCUUACAGGUUGUGAUAUUGGAGAUCCUCUUAAUGACAUUUUCUGUGGCAGGAAUCAACAAGCUUGUCCUAAAGGAUAUCACUGUCAGACCAGUCCAUUUGAUGAUACAAAUGGGAUAUGCUGUAAAAGCAAUGGUAUUUAGUUGGAAAUCGGCCAUAUUGUAAAGUCGGCUAGCAAUUUUGAUUUUACUCUAUACUCUGACUGCAUUACGAUAUUAAGAGAGUGGAAAAUAAUGCUGUUCUAAAAUACUAAAUAAAAUGAGAUUUUAACAGAUUUGUUUUGAAUAUCCAUCACAGUUUUCGAGAUUUUAGACAAAAACAUGAAAAUAGAUCAAAAAUACUUUUUUUUAUGAUUACGACGACGACGACGUGGCACCAACUCGGCUGCAUGGCAAAGGCACGUCAGCUUAAACAUGACUGUCGAACUGACUAAUACAUUUCGAUGAUUUCAAAUUUUAUUAUAAUUAUUUUAACCUUGUGCCGUAAUAAUAGAGUUUGAUAUGGUAGAGAGAUACUUUAAGAGAAAUAAUACUAAUAAUAACAAAUAAAUCAUGUAAAAUUACAAAGGAUCUUCAAUAAUAAUUUGACUCAAUAAAUUGCAUUAUAUUAUUUCACAAUCUACACUAACAUAGUUGACAAGUUUGUUUCCAGAUUGCAGGACAAAAGAGUAUUGUACAAUUUCCAAUUUUUUUUUCAGAACCGACGGCUUGUCUGAAAUGCUGUGGAUCUCCUCCAUGUUGUAGCACAUGCAUACGUAAGUAUACCAGUUAUAAGACAGGUGUUACACUGGUCGAUUUGUAGUUGCUCAUAACCUGUUUAAUUGAGAGCAAGGCCAAUUUAUUUAGAGAUAAUAACUCAAAGAAAGAUUUGCAUUGGAAAAAAUAUUCAUUGUAGCAAUGCAAGUAGCAUUGUGUAUAUGCAUUUCUUACUUAUAUUAAAAGAAAAUUUAAAAAGAAAUCUUUGCACAUUUUUGUUUUAUUUUAACACUUUUAUUACCAAUUUACAUAUAAUGAACCAUGUAACUGAGCUCUAAAUCAUCUCAAGUAUUAAAAACGAUAAAUGAUUGAAAAAGAAAGUAUCACCGAUGUCAUUAUCACAGUAUUUUUAAAGGACAACAAACCCCACUAAGAUAUUACAAAAGGCAAUCAGAGAUGAGGUUCCUGGCAUUAGAACAUUGACAUAAUUUGGCGGUAUUGAACUUAAUAUUUGAAUGCAAAUUCCUCGCUUCCGAAAAUAUUCUUCAGGGGCGUUCCUAGGAUAUUUGAAAGAGGGGGCGUAUAAUCAAAUCUUUCGCCGAGCGGACAUAAAAUAUAAAAUAAUUGUGAAAUGCACUUACAUGUAUGUAACGGUUCCUGAUUUGGAGUAUGUAUAUUUCAUUUUAUUUUUAAAAAGGGGGGCGUACGCUCAUUACUCCCUCACCUGGACCCGCCCCUGUUCUUAAUCAAUGAAAUAACAAAUGGUAUAUAACAUAAUAUAACAAAGAAAUAACAAAAAGCUUCCAAAUAUAUAAUAUUUUAGUGAUUCCAAGCAAAACACUAUAAACUAGAUCUUGUGAAUUGUCUAUGAAUGAAUAACUCGCUGAAAUCAAUUGAAAGAAAGCUCUUUUUCGAAUUAAUCGCAUAUAUAGCCAGUCACAUACAGUGCUUGAUGAUACGAUCUUGUUCUAUAUAAAACACAGAAAUGCAAAACAAAAAGAAAUAUAACUAUAUGAUCUUUAAAAAUAUAUACAUAUCUAUCCACAUGUACAUGCCAGCUUGUCUGACUGUCCGAAAUUAGGAAUAUCGAAAGUGAUUGCCUUUGUUAUAUAUCAAUGCCACUUUAAAAAUUGAGUUGUCGAAAAAUAACAGUAAAUGUUUUAUUCCAUUGUUUUCUGCAUGUCAAUUUAAUUUUAACCAGAUGAGCAAUUCCGGCUCCAUCAAAUCUCUGUUUUGCUCUUUUCGUACAUUCUCUAUAUUUUACUUUAUACAAAGGGUACAUUUUCCCCUUACAGGUUGUGAUGUUGGAGAUCCUCUUAAUGACGUUUUCUGUGGCAGGAAUCAACAAGCUUGUCCUAAAGGAUAUCACUGUCAGAUCAGUCCAUUUGAUGAUACAAAUGGGAUAUGCUGUAAAAGCAAUGGUAUUUAGUUAGAAAUCGGCCAUAUUGUAAAGUCGGCUAGCAAUUUAGAGUUUACUCUAUACUCUGACUGCAUUCGAUAUUACGAGAGUGGAAAAUAAUGCUGUUCUAAAAUACUAAAUAAAAUGAGAUUUUUACAGAUUUGGUUUUACUAUUAUAAAGAAGAGUGCACAGACUGAAUUGCUUUACUAUUCAUGACCU
rnacentral:lncRNA from 1 species